GAUUUAGCCUUGUUUGAGUUGAAUCACAAAAACUAAACCGAUUAAACCUUCACUUUGGUGCUUAGAAAACUUGGUGUGAUAGAAAUCUUGGGAGCUAGUAGUUGGUUCUUUACUUUCAAAAGGCUUUUGGAAGGUAUAAAGCUAACACUUUCUUUCUUCUUGCUUAAUCUUGCUAAGUUUGGUAUAGAAACUUUUAGUCUUGGCUUACUAUAGUUGAUUGUUUAGUUUUUAAUGGUGUAACAGAAUGUUUAGAUAGGGUUUUUAUUUUUCAGUUUUGAUUAUUGUUGUAUACCUAGUAAAUGAUGUUAUUAAACUAGGAUAUGGAAUUGAUUAAGUGAUUAAUGGCUUGAUGUUACUUUUUUGAGUUAAAAGUAACAACCCUUAAAAAUACGAUUUUCUUGAUUUUUCAAACCAAAUGCGACUUCCAAAGUAUAAAUCACUUUUUUAUCAAAACUAAAAAAGCGAGUAUGAAUUUUCUAGAGUUUGAUAAGUCAUAUGCUUACUAUUUAAACAAGUUUCAUUUACUUGAUUUUCUUGAAACGAAACUCCUAUGUUUCGAACCCUAGUAGAUUUUAAACUCUUAAAUGAUAUUUUAUCGCAAAUUUAGAUUCCAAUCAAAGAGUUGUACCUGAGCGUGAUUUUGACAAGCACUAAAUCUUUAGUGAGUGCGUCCAAAUAUAUAAUUGAAUUUGAUACUUGAUUUAAAUUAUUUACCAACGUGAUCGGAUAAGAUUUGCGUGGUUUGGUCGAGUAAGGGUGUACUUUAUCGCACUUGCCCUAAUGUAAGAUAUGCUUGUUUAUUUGUUGCAAUUGACUUGAUAUACUUGUGUCUGAUGUGCGCACUCUCUGGAAUUUCAGAAACUCUGUGGCUAGUUACUCGAGUCGAGUCGGCAAGAGUUUGGUCGAUUGGGUAAUGAACCCUGGGUCUCUUAUUUUGUCGAAUGGAGUGUUAUCUUCUCGAAUAAUUGGUAUGCUCGAAUAUUACCAGUCGUGUUUAUUGAGGAUUUUGGACCCAGUAGGGGGUUUGAAUAGUGGACGGAGAUUGUAAUUAAGUGGUGCUCUACGGAACUGGGUACUUGACUUGAAAGUUG
rnacentral:lncRNA from 1 species